rnacentral:rRNA from 1 species
GACAAACGCUGGCGGCGUGCUUAACACAUGCAAGUCGAACGAAGUUUUUCUUUCGGGAGGAACUUAGUGGCGGACGGGUGAGUAACGCGUGGGUAACCUGCCCUGUACACGGGACAACAGCUGGAAUCGGCCGCUAAUACCGCAUAAGCCCUUAGCACUGUAUGGUGCAUAGGGAAACGGAGCAAUCCGGUACAGGAUGGACCCGCGUCCGAUUAGCCAGUUGGCAGGGUAACGGCCUACCAAAGCGACGAUCAGUAGCCGAUCUGAGAGGAUGUACGGCCACAUUGGGACUGAGACACGGCCCAGACUCCUACGGGAGGCAGCAGUGGGGAAUAUUGCACAAUGGAGGAAACUCUGAUGCAGCGACGCCGCGUGAGUGAAGAAGUAUUUCGGUAUGUAAAGCUCUAUCAGCAGGGAAGAAAAUGACGGUACCGGACGAAGAAGCACCGGCUAAAUACGUG